GUUCUGACGCGCACUCGUUUUGAAACUCCUGACGGUCGAAUCUGAAAAAAAAAACGUUCCUGGGGGCGGGACCAUUUAGCUCUAAACCUAUUGGUUGCUCUCGGCUGACGUACAUUCCAAUCACAUGUGCCGUUCACCGGGCUGUGCGUGAUUGACAGUGCUCUGCCGAUGACACGAAUAACAAGCGACUUUCGCGGUUGAUUUUGAUUUCCAUUUUCUGGAACCAUGGCUGGGAGACAGGACGUCCUUCAGGAGGAGUUACUUGCACGGCUACAGUCAAGACUCCAGCAAGCACUUUCCAGGGUUACAGGGUUACAGACGUCCUUCAGGAGGAGUUACUUGCACGGCUACAGUCAAGACUGCAGCAAGCACUUUCCAGGCAGCCUCUUGAUUUGGACUUCCUAGAGUUUGUCAUUACAAUUAAGGUCCUGUACUUGGAUGCAGCAACCAACAACCGUGCCAAUACAGCAUUCUCCUUUUUCCUUGAGGCCACUCGGUUACAUGGUGUUCCAUCAAGGGUUACAGACGUCCUUCAGGAGGAGUUACUUGCACGGCUACAGUCAAGACUCCAGCAAGCACUUUCCAGGCAGCCUCUUGAUUUGGACUUCCUAGAGUUUGUCUGCUGCAACAAAUUAGUUUUAUUUCAUUCUUUUGCUGAUCAGAUCCACAUAGACAAUGAUAUUUUGCAGCAGUUAAACUAUUUGUUGGAGCUGGUCCAUGCGGCAAUUGUGAACAGUCCAACUGAAUCACAUUUUGACACAGCUGUGGGUUUGAAGGGAAAACCCAGAAUGAUAAUCCAGAAAGAUCAGCUGCAACAUUUGUUAGACUCACAAUUCUCUGUACCAUGCAUAGCUCAGUUAUUAGGUGUAUCACCAAGAACUAUUUUUCGAAGGAUGGCAGAGUAUGGGCUGAGCGUGAGAGGAUUCUACAGCACCAUGACUGACGCAGAGCUCGAUAAUAUGGUCAGAGCUAUUAAAACACAGAUGCCCAAUGCAGGGUACAGGAGUGUAAAGGGACAGCUCAUGGCAAUGGGUAGCCGUGUUCAAUGGGAGAGGAUUACAGACUCAAUGCAUCGUCUCGAUGCAGCUGGAAUCCUGUCCCGACUUGCAAGGCUUGGCUGCACUGUACGAAUAUCAUACUCAGUACGAGGUCCCCUUGCAUUGGUGCACAUUGACACAAACCAUAAACUCAUCAGGUAUGGUUUAGGUUCCAUCUUCAUGACUUUUAAGUUAAAUUAAAUCAGGUUAUCUAUUUUCCUGGGCGUGAUAUGAGUCAUUAUGGAUGCGUACUAAACAACAGUAAAUAAAUUAAGGCAUGCAUGACAAUAAAAUGUAUAACAUUUAUUAUCUUUUAAUUGUAUUACUUUUAUUCAUAGGUACAACCUGGUAAUAUUUGGUGGAGUUGAUGGAUUUUCCAGAAAGGUAGUACUUCAUGCAUACAUUAUCCAAUUAUUCAUUUCAGUUAAAGCUUCACACGUUUUCCCCCAGAAAAAGUUGUUGCAUACUAAUUAGGUGGCAAUAGUGCUGCAGGAUUUGGUUAAAUAGUGUCAAUAUGAUGGACAAUAUUGUGAUUUGCUAUAUAACAAAUGGCUUGUAUUAUGAGUCUACUUGCUUGGUUUUCAAGGAAAUUACAGACCAAUAUGUUUUUUGUAUUCUAAAGUGAAAACAUAGAAUUGUGUGGGGGGAAAUUGUUAUUGUACCAAC
ensembl:lncRNA